rnacentral:rRNA from 1 species
UACGUAGGGGGCAAGCGUUGUCCGGAUUUAUUGGGCGUAAAGAGCGUGUAGGCGGCCAAGCAGGUCCGCUGUGAAAACUCGAGGCUUAACCUCGAGCUGUCGGCGGAAACCAUCUGGCUAGAGUCCGGAAGAGGAGAAUGGAAUUCCCGGUGUAGCGGUGAAAUGCGCAGAUAUCGGGAAGAACACCCGUGGCGAAGGCGGUUCUCUGGGACGGUACUGACGCUGAGACGCGAAAGCGUGGGGAGCGAACAGG